rnacentral:rRNA from 1 species
CGAACUGUGCAAACGUUAUUCGGAAUCACUGGGCUUAAAGGGUGCGUAGGCGGUCAUUUAGGUAGGGUGUGAAAGCCCCCGGCUCAACCGGGGAAUUGCGCCCUAAACCGGGUGACUGGAGUGAGAUAGGGGUGUGUGGAACUUCCGGUGGAGCGGUGAAAUGUGUUGAUAUCGGAAGGAACGCCGGUGGCGAAAGCGACACACUGGGUCGCAACUGACGCUGAGGCACGAAAGCCAGGGGAGCAAACGGG